GACGAACGCUGGCGGCGUGCUUAACACAUGCAAGUCGAACGGAAAGGCCCUGCUUGCAGGGUACUCGAGUGGCGAACGGGUGAGUAACACGUGGGUGAUCUGCCCUGCACUUCGGGAUAAGCCUGGGAAACUGGGUCUAAUACCGGAUAGGAGCCAUUUUUAGUGUGAUGGUUGGAAAGUUUUUUCGGUGUAGGAUGAGCUCGCGGCCUAUCAGCUUGUUGGUGGGGUAAUGGCCUACCAAGGCGGCGACGGGUAGCCGGCCUGAGAGGGUGGACGGCCACAUUGGGGCUGAGAUACGGCCCAGACUCCUACGGGGGGCAGCAGUGGGGAAUGUUGCACAAUGGGCGCAAGCCUGAUGCAGCGACGCCGCGUGGGGGAUGACGGCCUUCGGGUUGUAAACUCCUUUCGCUAGGGACGAAGCUUUUUGUGACGGUACCUAGAUAAGAAGCACCGGCUAACUACGUG
rnacentral:rRNA from 1 species